rnacentral:rRNA from 1 species
GACGAACGCUGGCGGCGUGCUUAACACAUGCAAGUCGAACGGAAAGGCCCUGCUUUUGUGGGGUGCUCGAGUGGCGAACGGGUGAGUAACACGUGAGUAACCUGCCCUUGACUUUGGGAUAACUCCAGGAAACUGGGGCUAAUACCGGAUAGAAGCUCCUGCUGCAUGGUGGGGGUUGGAAAGUUCCGGCGGUUGGGGAUGGAUUCGCGGCUUAUCCGCUGGUUGGUGUGGUAGUGGAUUACCAAGGCUUUGACGGGUAGCCGGCCUGAGAGGGUGACCGGCCACAUUGGGACUGAGAUAGGGCCCAGACUCGUACGGGAGGCAGCAGUGGAGAAUAUUGCACAGUGAGCGGAAGCGUGAUGCAGCAACGCCGGGUGCGGAAUGACGGCCUUCGGGUUGUAAACAGCUUUCGCAGGUGACGAAGCGUGAGUGACGGUAAUGGGUAAAGAAGCACCGGCUAACUACGUG